rnacentral:rRNA from 1 species
UACGAAGGGGGCUAGCGUUGUUCGGAAUCACUGGGCGUAAAGGGCGCGUAGGCGGGCUCUUAAGUCGAGGGUGAAAUCCUGGAGCUCAACUCCAGAACGUCCUUUGAUACUGAGAGCCUGGAGUUCGAGAGAGGUUGGUGGAAUUGCGAGUGUAGAGGUGAAAUUCGUAGAUAUUCGCAGGAACACCAGUGGCGAAGGCGACCAACUGGCUCGAUACUGACGCUGAGGUGCGAAAGCGUGGGGAGCAAACAGG